rnacentral:rRNA from 1 species
AGCAGCCGCGGUAAUUCCAGCUCCAAUAGCGUAUAUUAAAGUUGUUGCAGUUAAAAAGCUCGUAGUUGAAUUUCGGAGUUCUUCCGUUGGUCAGGCUAACAAGUGUCUGUACUAGCGUGUAGAAUUCCUACCUUCUGGGGAACCAUCAUGUUAUUAAUUAGCGUGGUGGGAAACCAGGACCUUUACCUUGAAAAAAUUAGAGUGUUCAAAGCAGGCUUACGUCUGAAUACAUUAGCAUGGAAUAAUAAAAUAGGACGGUGGUCCUGUUUUGUUGGUUUCUGAAUCACCGUAAUGAUUAAUAGGGAUAGUUGGGGGCAUUAGUAUUCAAUUGUCAGAGGUGAAAUUCUUGGAUUUAUUGAAGACUAACUUCUGCGAAGAGCAUAUGCCAAGGAUGUUUUCAUUAAUCAAGAACGAAAGUUAGGGGAUCGAAGACGAUCAGAUACCGUACGUAGUCUUAACCAUAAACUAUGCCGACUAGGGAUCGGAUGAUGUUAAUUUUUUAAUGACUCA